CCGGGUGCUCCGGGUUUCCUCCCACAUUUGCAAAGACAAACAGGCUUGUAGGUUGUCCAAGGAGGAACUGCAGAUGCUGGAAAACCGAAGGCAGACAAAAAUGCUGGAGAAACUCAGCGGGACUCAGCAGUACAGCGUAGGUUUAC